rnacentral:rRNA from 1 species
UGGACGCUAGCGGCGGAUGGGUGAGUAACACGUGGGCAAUCUGCCCUAAAGACUGGGAUACCACUUGGAAACAGGUGCUAAUACCGGAUAACAACAUGAAUCGCAUGAUUCAAGUUUGAAAGGCGGCGCAAGCUGUCACUUUAGGAUGAGCCCGCGGCGCAUUAGCUAGUUGGUGGGGUAAAGGCCUACCAAGGCAAUGAUGCGUAGCCGAGUUGAGAGACUGAUCGGCCACAUUGGGACUGAGACACGGCCCAAACUCCUACGGGAGGCAGCAGUAGGGAAUCUUCCACAAUGGACGCAAGUCUGAUGGAGCAACGCCGCGUGAGUGAAGAAGGUCUUCGGAUCGUAAAGCUCUGUUGUUGGUGAAGAAGGAUAGAGGCAGUAACUGGUCUUUAUUUGACGGUAAUCAACCAGAAAGUCACGGCUAACUACGUGCCAGCAGCCGCGGUAAUACGUAGGUGGCAAGCGUUGUCCGGAUUUAUUGGGCGUAAAGCGAGCGCAGGCGGAAUGAUAAGUCUGAUGUGAAAGCCCACGGCUCAACCGUGGAACUGCAUCGGAAACUGUCAUUCUUGAGUGCAGAAGAGGAGAGUGGAACUCCAUGUGUAGCGGUGGAAUGCGUAGAUAAUUGGAAGAACACCAGUGGCGAAGGCGGCUCUCUGGUCUGCAACUGACGCUGAGGCUCGAAAGCAUGGGUAGCGAACAGGAUUAGAUACCCUGGUAGUCCAUGCCGUAAACGAUGAGCGCUAGGUGUUGGGGACUUUCCGGUCCUCAGUGCCGCAGCAAACGCAUUAAGCGCUCCGCCU